UGCUGGUCAGAGGUGUCCACUACCCUGCUGUGGUGUUUAUAACUAAUUGAUCACAACCAGUUACAGAUUCCUUUGUUCCUUCUUUGCUCCCACUGCUUUACUUGACUAGCCUUUA
rnacentral:Y_RNA from 1 species